CUACCUACAGUUUCCCGAGACAGAGAUCGAGGGGUUCCAGCAGUUUUGAGGGCAGCCCAGGUCAGACGCUACAUGAGGGAAUAAAUAAAUAUUUCAGGUUGCAGGUUUGUUGUAGCAUUUGUGUGAAAUGAUUUCUUAAUGAGGGUGUUAGCAUUCUAUGCUCUUAACCUGUCAAGACGCCACUACUUAUUUUGCACGACUGAACUUCUUUCAAUUUAAUACGGGGUAUACUUCUGCCAAAUGUCUACCUACCUAUAGACACAAUUGUUUUUAGAGCAGAUGAUGUGAAAUCUAGUAUCUCUACUACCUUUGGUAUAUGGAUCAACAUCAUCUACUCUAAAUCUCUAACAUAUAUGAACAUCUCCGAGUUCCAGUACUUGCUAAAUUCACCCACUUCGAUAGCUUUAGAAAUAUCAUUGCCUCUCCACAUCACCGACUUGCUUUCCAAUAUUUUUCUUUUGAUUAUUCUAUAUCAUGCUUUCUGUGAAAUGUGUAUAAAGCAACUCAGUAUGAAGGAACAUGAUCCAACCAAUCUAGGUUUUUUGCUCUAAAUUAUACAUUUCUUCUGAUAAGGUGGAUACUAGUUAAUGGGAUGUGUCAACUGUAGAAUAUAGUGAAUUGUUGUUACAUGUUUGUGAAAAGUAGUGACACAGGAAUAUAAUGUUGAUUAUAGUGUAAAUUGUUUUACCUGGGGAAACUGGGGAUUAUCGGGCAUGUAAUGGUCAGCAGCAUCUAGAGCUGUCAUACCCUUGUCAUUGACCAAUGUAACGUCGACUCUAUUGUCCCAUGUUAAUGCACUGACAAUUUUGGGGUGCCAAUUCAUUGUUGCCAAAUGCAGGGGUGUGUUUCCGUGUUUAUCUUUCAUGUUUAUAAGGUUCUUUAGAUACGGACUUUUCAGAACGUAGCUGACUACAUUACAUCUUCCGUUCCUUGCAGCAAUGUGUAGAAUAUUGCAACCAUCUCCAUCGAGCAUCUCCUCUGGAUCCGGACAGUCUUCAAGCAAUAAGCUGAUGACUUGGACGUUGCCUUUAAU
rnacentral:lncRNA from 1 species